UACGUAGGGACCAAGCGUUGUUCGGAUUUACUGGGCGUAAAGGGCGCGUAGGCGGCAUGACAAGUCACUUGUGAAAUCUCUGGGCUUAACUCAGAACGGCCAAGCGAUACUGUCGCGCUAGAGUGCGGAAGGGGCAAUCGGAAUUCUCGGUGUAGCGGUGAAAUGCGUAGAUAUCGAGAGGAACACCUGAGGUGAAGACGGGUUGCUGGGCCGACACUGACGCUGAGGCGCGAAAGCCAGGGGAGCAAACGGG
rnacentral:rRNA from 1 species